rnacentral:lncRNA from 1 species
CCCUCCUCUCAUCUUUCCCACUCUGCAUCCCUCUCGCUUCUUCUGGCUGCCCUAAGUUAGAAUGAGGAAAGAACUCAAGAGCUCACAGAUUGGCAGUGAUCACAAGAAUAGCACUGCAAGUGUGUUGAAAGGACACUGAGGACUGACAUUCCCCAAGCAACCAAUGUUGGCAGCACUUCACCUCCAUGAUGGAUCCUGGGAAUAUCCCAAUGGCUUGUUAUCUACCUGUUGGCGGUCCUGAGGGCAAGCCAAGUGGGAGCGCUCGACGGGGAACAAAUGAGAACAGAAGGAAGAGAAGAGUUAAAUGUGCAUCUUUGGGAUUGUCUUUCUAAGUUGGGAAGGUAAAUGUAAUUACUGGAGCUUCUGAACUCUGCUCUACGCCACUCAAAUACUCUCCCGUGCAUAGCUUGGUCACUUCUCACUCGGUGACUCUGCCCCUUGACUAUUCAAGACCAGAAUGGGCAGUCUCUUUCCCGUCAUCCUCAAAUGGUCAACAUGAUCAUAUAUGCCAGUCUUGUCUUUUCGCAGCUCUACCCUUUAUCCAUUUGUGUUGCUGUAAUCACUUACGUUCAGGCUGCUUCUUAAAAAAAAAAAAAUCCCAUGAAUUUAUUCCAACUAAUUAACCUUGUCCCCAUUAGCUCAAGGGUUGGAGCUUAGGAGCAGUGACAUGAAUAAGGUCAGUCAGUCACUGAGUUUUUAUUUACUGGACUCCCCUGCAAAGUACUGUGCUAUUCUAGAUUCAAAUCUAUUUCCCUAUUAGGUUUUGUAAAAUUCUGACAGCUGCAAAAAUAAUUGUGAUGCUAAAAUAGAACAU